rnacentral:lncRNA from 10 species
CUAUUUUCAGGCUGUGAAGUCUGGGUGAGAUCUUGACAGUGGUGGCAGUGGUGGGAUCCAUGCAUGGCGUCUGGAAGAAGGAGAGAAAGGAAGAGAAAGAGGCAAGGAGGGAGGAGGAAAAUGAGGCCUUGAAAUAUCAUACACAGUUCCUUGGAUGGAAGGAGGAGCGGGUCCUGUCCCCGCUUGUCUUGGCUGUCUGGAGGAAGAGGAGAACCAGUCAUUGGUGUGGCCUAAGUCGAACGAGGAACUGUGGUGAGUCUUCUCCCUGACCCCCUUUUCCCACCCAUCCCGACAUAUUUCUUCUGUUUUGCAUUCCCAGUGCCAGGGACUGUUUGUGUGUCAAAUAUGCCAUGAAAUGUGCAUCUUUCCC